rnacentral:tRNA from 1 species
UGAUCUAUUAGCUCAGAUGGCCAGAGCGCCGCCCUGUCACGGCGGAGGUCGCCGGUUCAAGCCCGGCAUAGAUCGCCAA